rnacentral:rRNA from 1 species
CAGUCAUAUGCUUGUUUCAAAGAUUAAGCCAUGCAUGUCUAAGUACCUGCCAACCUAAGGUGAAACCGCCGAAUGGCUCAUUAAAUCAGUCAUAAUCUACAGGAUGUUGUUAAAUCCUUACUCGGAUAACUGUGGUAAUUCUAGAGCUAAUACGUGCAAUUAGUCUCCGACCUCGACGUCAGCACGCUUCGGGCGUCUUGUCGCUUCGAGGGAAGGGCGCAUUUAUUAGACCAAAACCGGGUGGACAUACGCGCGUGCGGGUCGAUGGUAAAGCGUGGAGCGUUGUUGUUGUUGUUGUAGUUGUUACAACUACUACUACUACUCCUCCUCCUCCUUUAUUUAUCUCCGCUCGCCGUCCAUGCCUCUUCGGUAACUUGGUGACUCUGGAUAACUAUCGCCGAGCGCUGAGGUCUUCGCACCGGCGCCGUAUCCUCCGAGUGUCUGCCUUAUCAGCUCUCGAUUGUAGGAUAUUUGCCUACAAUGGCUGUAACGGGUAACGGGGAAUCAGGGUUCGAUUCCGGAGAGGGAGCCUGAGAAACGGCUACCACAUCUAAGGAAGGCAGCAGGCGCGCAAAUUACCCAAUCCUGGCUCGGGGAGGUAGUGACGAGAAAUAACGAUAUGGGGUCUCUUCAGAGGCUUCAUAAUCGGAAUGAGUCCGGUGUAAACACGCGAACGAGGAUCCAUUGGAGGGCAAGUCUGGUGC